UACGUAGGGGUCCGAGCGUUGUCCGGAAUUACUGGGCGUAAAGCGUGCGCAGGCGGCUUUCCAAGCGCCACGUGAAAGCCCCGGGCUCAACCCGGGAGGGUCGUGGCGAACUGGGAGCUUGAGGCCGGUAGAGGUGGGUGGAACUCCUGGUGGAGUGGUGAAAUGCGUAGAUAUGUGGAGGAACACCGAUGGCGAAGGCAGCCCCCUGGGUCAAGACUGACGCUCAUGCACGAAAGCGUGGGGAGCAAACAGG
rnacentral:rRNA from 1 species